CACGUAGGGCGCAAGCGUUGUCCGGAAUUAUUGGGCGUAAAGAGCUCGUAGGCGGUCUGUUGCGUCCGCUGUGAAAACCCGGGGCUUAACCCCUGGCUUGCAGUGGGUACGGGCAGACUAGAGUGUGGUAGGGGAGACUGGAAUUCCUGGUGUAGCGGUGAAAUGCGUAGAUAUUCGGAAGAACACCGGUGGCGAAGGCGACCUUCUGGGCCGCCACUGACGCUGAGGCACGAAAGCGUGGGGAGCAAACGGG
rnacentral:rRNA from 1 species